rnacentral:rRNA from 1 species
UAAGUUAUUAAGGGCGCACGGUGGAUGCCUUGGCACUAGAAGCCGAUGAAGGACGUUACUAACGACGAUAUGCUUUGGGGAGCUGUAAGUAAGCUUUGAUCCAGAGAUUUCCGAAUGGGGAAACCCAGCAUGAGUUAUGUCAUGUUAUCGAUAUGUGAAUACAUAGCAUAUCAGAAGGCACACCCGGAGAACUGAAACAUCUUAGUACCCGGAGGAAGAGAAAGAAAAUUCGAUUCCCUUAGUAGCGGCGAGCGAAACGGGAAGAGCCCAAACCAACAAGCUUGCUUGUUGGGGUUGUAGGACACUCUGUACGGAGUUACAAAGGACGACAUUAGACGAAUCAUCUGGAAAGAUGAAUCAAAGAAGGUAAUAAUCCUGUAGUCGAAAAUGUUGUCUCUCUUGAGUGGAUCCUGAGUACGACGGAGCACGUGAAAUUCCGUCGGAAUCUGGGAGGACCAUCUCCUAAGGCUAAAUACUCUCUAGUGACCGAUAGUGAACCAGUACCGUGAGGGAAAGGUGAAAAGCACCCCGGAAGGGGAGUGAAAUAGAACCUGAAACCGUGUGCUUACAAGUAGUCAGAGCCCGUUAAUGGGUGAUGGCGUGCCUUUUGUAGAAUGAACCGGCGAGUUACGAUUUGAUGCAAGGUUAAGCAGUAAAUGUGGAGCCGUAGCGAAAGCGAGUCUGAAUAGGGCGUUUAGUAUUUGGUCGUAGACCCGAAACCAGGUGAUCUACCCUUGGUCAGGUUGAAGUUCAGGUAACACUGAAUGGAGGACCGAACCGACUUACGUUGAAAAGUGAGCGGAUGAACUGAGGGUAGCGGAGAAAUUCCAAUCGAACCUGGAGAUAGCUGGUUCUCUCCGAAAUAGCUUUAGGGCUAGCCUCAAGUGAUGAUUAUUGGAGGUAGAGCACUGUUUGGACGAGGGGCCCCUCUCGGGUUACCGAAUUCAGACAAACUCCGAAUGCCAAUUAAUUUAACUUGGGAGUCAGAACAUGGGUGAUAAGGUCCGUGUUCGAAAGGGAAACAGCCCAGACCACCAGCUAAGGUCCCAAAAUAUAUGUUAAGUGGAAAAGGAUGUGGCGUUGCCCAGACAACUAGGAUGUUGGCUUAGAAGCAGCCAUCAUUUAAAGAGUGCGUAAUAGCUCACUAGUCGAGUGACACUGCGCCGAAAAUGUACCGGGGCUAAACAUAUUACCGAAGCUGUGGAUUGUCCUUUGGACAAUGGUAGGAGAGCGUUCUAAGGGCGUUGAAGCAUGAUCGUAAGGACAUGUGGAGCGCUUAGAAGUGAGAAUGCCGGUGUGAGUAGCGAAAGACGGGUGAGAAUCCCGUCCACCGAUUGACUAAGGUUUCCAGAGGAAGGCUCGUCCGCUCUGGGUUAGUCGGGUCCUAAGCUGAGGCCGACAGGCGUAGGCGAUGGAUAACAGGUUGAUAUUCCUGUACCACCUAUAAUCGUUUUAAUCGAUGGGGGGACGCAGUAGGAUAGGCGAAGCGUGCGAUUGGAUUGCACGUCUAAGCAGUAAGGCUGAGUAUUAGGCAAAUCCGGUACUCGUUAAGGCUGAGCUGUGAUGGGGAGAAGACAUUGUGUCUUCGAGUCGUUGAUUUCACACUGCCGAGAAAAGCCUCUAGAUAGAAAAUAGGUGCCCGUACCGCAAACCGACACAGGUAGUCAAGAUGAGAAUUCUAAGGUGAGCGAGCGAACUCUCGUUAAGGAACUCGGCAAAAUGACCCCGUAACUUCGGGAGAAGGGGUGCUCUUUAGGGUUAACGCCCAGAAGAGCCGCAGUGAAUAGGCCCAAGCGACUGUUUAUCAAAAACACAGGUCUCUGCUAAACCGUAAGGUGAUGUAUAGGGGCUGACGCCUGCCCGGUGCUGGAAGGUUAAGAGGAGUGGUUAGCUUCUGCGAAGCUACGAAUCGAAGCCCCAGUAAACGGCGGCCGUAACUAUAACGGUCCUAAGGUAGCGAAAUUCCUUGUCGGGUAAGUUCCGACCCGCACGAAAGGCGUAACGAUUUGGGCACUGUCUCAACGAGAGACUCGGUGAAAUCAUAGUACCUGUGAAGAUGCAGGUUACCCGCGACAGGACGGAAAGACCCCGUGGAGCUUUACUGUAGCCUGAUAUUGAAAUUCGGCACAGCUUGUACAGGAUAGGUAGGAGCCUUUGAAACGUGAGCGCUAGCUUACGUGGAGGCGCUGGUGGGAUACUACCCUAGCUGUGUUGGCUUUCUAACCCGCACCACUUAUCGUGGUGGGAGACAGUGUCAGGCGGGCAGUUUGACUGGGGCGGUCGCCUCCUAAAAGGUAACGGAGGCGCUCAAAGGUUCCCUCAGAAUGGUUGGAAAUCAUUCAUAGAGUGUAAAGGCAUAAGGGAGCUUGACUGCGAGACCUACAAGUCGAGCAGGGUCGAAAGACGGACUUAGUGAUCCGGUGGUUCCGCAUGGAAGGGCCAUCGCUCAACGGAUAAAAGCUACCCCGGGGAUAACAGGCUUAUCUCCCCCAAGAGUUCACAUCGACGGGGAGGUUUGGCACCUCGAUGUCGGCUCAUCGCAUCCUGGGGCUGUAGUCGGUCCCAAGGGUUGGGCUGUUCGCCCAUUAAAGCGGUACGCGAGCUGGGUUCAGAACGUCGUGAGACAGUUCGGUCCCUAUCCGUCGUGGGCGUAGGAAAUUUGAGAGGAGCUGUCCUUAGUACGAGAGGACCGGGAUGGACAUACCUCUGGUGUACCAGUUGUCGUGCCAACGGCAUAGCUGGGUAGCUAUGUGUGGACGGGAUAAGUGCUGAAAGCAUCUAAGCAUGAAGCCCCCUCAAGAUGAGAUUUCCCAACUUCGGUUAUAAGAUCCCUCAAAGAUGAUGAGGUUAAUAGGUUCGAGGUGGAAGCAUGGUGACAUGUGGAGCUGACGAAUACUAAUCGAUCGAAGACUUAAUCA